AGAGAUUAGUUUGAUCCUGGCUCAGGAUGAACGCUAGCGGCAGGCCUAAUACAUGCAAGUCGGACGGCAGACGAUCUUUCGGGAUUGUUGAGAGUGGCGCACGGGUGCGUAACGCGUAUGCAACCUGCCUCAUAGAGGGGGAUAGCCCGGGGAAACCCGGAUUAAUACCCCAUGGUAUUGUUUCACGGCAUCGUGGGAUGAUUAAAGCUUUCGGGCGUUAUGAGAUGGGCAUGCGUAGGAUUAGCUAGUUGGCGGGGUAACGGCCCACCAAGGCGACGAUCCUUAGGGGUUCUGAGAGGAAGGUCCCCCACACUGGCACUGAGAUACGGGCCAGACUCCUACGGGAGGCAGCAGUAGGGAAUAUUGGGCAAUGGCCGGAAGGCUGACCCAGCCAUGCCGCGUGCAGGAAGAAGGCGUUAUGCGUUGUAAACUGCUUUUAUACGGGAAGAAAAAGCGACUGCGGUCGAAAUUGCCGGUACCGUAUGAAUAAGCACCGGCUAACUCCGUGCCAGCAGCCGCGGUAAUACGGAGGGUGCGAGCGUUGUCCGGAUUUAUUGGGUUUAAAGGGUGCGUAGGCGGCCUUAUAAGUCAGCGGUGAAAUACCCAGGCUCAACCUGGGGGGUGCCGUUGAUACUGUAUGGCUUGAGUACGUUCCGUGUACAUGGAAUUUAUGGUGUAGCGGUGAAAUGCAUAGAUACCAUAAGGAACACCGAUAGCGAAGGCAUUGUACAGGGGCGUAACUGACGCUGAG
rnacentral:rRNA from 1 species